GCAGGUUCAUUGGGAGGCUCAGCAGGGUGGUCAGGGGAGAAAACGACGUGGGGUGCCCCAAGAGGAGCUUACGCGUAGCGCUACCAGGAGCCCCUGGGGUCGCGGCGGGACGGCGGCGCACGGGGAGGAGCGAGCCUGGCAGACAGACACAAUAAGGGUUCACAGAUGGAGCCGAGAAAAAGGCUGCGCGCCGCGGGGUUUCGGGACUCCCAGGCUCGGCCUCGCCCACUCACUAGCAACGUGCUAGCGAAGCGCUGCAGCUGAAGAGAAUCAGUCAUGAGAGAGCUGCCUUGAGGGAGGAAACCUUCCUCCCACAGCUGGGACUUUCCAGAGUUCUCUCCCCCCCUCCUACCUUUCACUGCCUAAUGCAAUGGGAGGGCAGCAACACCAGAAGAGUCCAUAGUGCUGUACCGCGAGCCUGCUACUCCUUGCACUUGCCAUUAGCCAGUGUCAGAGGACAGGAUACUGGUCUUGAUGGACCUUUGGUUUGACCCGGUAUGUUCUAAGGUUCAUUGAUUUAAAUGGAGCUAUCUGUGAAUAGAAAAGCUACUCGUGUAAGCAAAGGUUGCAAGAUUGGGCCCAAGUGAUGUGGAAGUACCCCAAAACUUACCACUCUGUGGGAGAAAGUACCUCAGAUGUACAGAAGAGCAUUAAUAUGGGAUCAUAUCAAAGAAAAGGAUUCUGUCAACGAACCAUGAUGAACAGCAUUGGGAAGAACAAUACUAAAAUCAGAACUGAUCCUGAGAACACAGAGGAAAGCGAGGAAGAGGAGACAAAAGUGAGAAGGAUGGAGAUGAGAUAUAAGAGGACGAAGAGACAGGAGGACUAAACUCUGGGAAUACAGAAAGCAAAGGAUGGAGAUAUGGAAGCUGAGAGGGGAGAGGUUCUUUUUUACAUAAUGACCAAGCCCUGUAGCAUACAGUGAAAAGAGCCCUUAGAGAAGAUUAAUCCUUCUAAAAUAGUGUUUAUUUCCGUUUACAGCCUUAGAAUGUCUGAUUCCUAUAACCACUUAUCUCUGAUGUUUACUCUUGGAACAGCUCACUCCUCUAGUGUCAACCAGUACAUGGUGUUACAGAAAAAAGAAACUGUGAAGCUGUCCCAUCUACUCUAUUCAUAAGGAGAUGUCAGAGAGACAGGCCAAGAUUUUAAUUUGGAGAGAAGGAGACCCAUCUGGAGCACAGAGGUGGAUCUGUGAGUUAUCAGCACUGAGAUAGUAGUUGAAUUUGUUGCAGGUGAGAUUACCCACAGAUAAGGUGUAGAGGGAGAAGAGAAGGGGACUAAGAACUGAGCCCUGUGGAACCCCCUUAGAAAGGUGGAGAGGGGAUGAGGAGGAUCCUCUGAAGGACACACGGAAGGAGCAAUUACAGAGGUAGGAGGAAAACCAGGAGAGGACAGAAUCAUGGAAGCCAAGCGAGGACAAGAUUUCAAGAAGAAAAAUAAAAAACAUGGUCCAGUGUGUUCAAGGCAGCUUGCAUAGAUUAAUAGAUUUGCAGACCAGAAAGGAUCACAUUGAUCAUAUGGCCUGAACUCCUGUACAACAGAGGCCCAUACGACUUCCUUGUAUUAAUUCAUGCUUCAAGUCCAGUAGCUGAGGUUGAAUUAUAGCAUGUCUUUUAGAAAAAUAUCCAAUCUUGAUUUUAAAUUUUUCAGUGAUGGAGACUCUACUACAACCCUUUUACUAAUUGUCCAAUUACUAAUUACUCCCAGUUAAAAAUGUGCACCUUAUUUCUAGUCUGAAUUUUUCAGCUUCAACUUCCAGUCAUUGACUCUUGUUAUACCUAUAUCUGCUAGAUUAUAAAAUUUCUGUUCCUUAUUUACGUAUUUACAGACUGUGAUCAAGUCACUUCUUAACCUUCUCUUUCAUAAGUUGCAUACAUUGAGCUUCUUACAUCUUUCUCUAUAAGCAUGUUUUCCAAUCAUGUCAAGAAAGAUGAGCAUGGAGUACUGGUUCUGAGCUUUGUCUUGGAAGAGGUCAUUAGGGACUUUGGCAAGAGCACAAUCAGUAGAGUGCAAGGAGCAGAAGCCUAACUGGAGAAGCUCUAGGGUGGAAUUGGAGGAAAGGACAGCAAGCCAAUGGUGUCAGAGUUUCUCUCUUUUCCCAUCAUAAGUGAUAAUUUUAGUUAGAAUAAUCAGGAGACCUUAUCAAUAUUAUUAAGAAAAAACACACUUUAUUGAAUUCUCAGUUUUCUAUAAAUCACUCUACUCAAUUCUCCUCACCCCACACACAAUUUUUAUAUAAAAUUGUCAGUAUUCUGCAGUUUUAAGCUAUUUUGAAAAACUCUGUAGUGCAUUAGACCUAGAGUUUUUCACACCCCUAAUGAUGUUAACACUGAUCAGUGAAUAAAUGUUAAAUAUUGAGAUAUACAAUUCUUAGAAACAGUACUGGACUAUUUCCUUUUAAAAUUUGUAACACAGCCAAUAGGUCUGAAGAUUAUUUUGGAUGUAGUCCUAGAAAAUUACUCAUUCAUGAUAAAAUAAGAUAGUAGCUGGAAAACAUAUUAGGUUUGAUUUUUGUAACUGUGCAUAUGAAAUGAUGGCAGAAUUUCUAGUAUUAUGUGCAAAUUAUCUUGCACAAAUAGAUCAUGAAAUCAUUUGGAUGUAUAUGUUUUCUCUGAGCUAUUCUUAUAGAUAUGCAUAAAUAUUUCAAGACAUUAGAAGAGAAAUAUGGAACUUAGCCAAAUAUGUAUGUGGGAAUUUCAGUCAUUCUCUGUCAGAUUUCAAAUUUAAGCUUUUUAAUUAUUUUAUUCAUAGUGGAUUUCUCAGUGUGCUUCAUAUUUGUGCUCAUAAUCUUAGCAGCCUUAAAAAAGCCUUUUUACAUUUUCAUCUGUCUCGUGUUUCUUGUAAGAUCUAAUCUGUGUUGUUGGAGAAAUGCUGUAUGCAGUGAUACGUGUUCC